UACGGCCAUAUAAUGUUCAAACACCGGCUCCCGUACGAUCAGCGAAGUUAGCAACGUCGAGCCUGGUCAGUACCUUGAUGGGUGACGGCUUGGGUAUACAAGGUGCUAUAA